GGUAGCAUAAUCAUUUGCCUUAUAAUUAAGGGCUGGGAUAAAUGAGAGAACAAUAUUUAAACUUUUUAUUAUAUUUYUUAGAAAUUGAUUUUUAUGUCAAAAAGCAUAACUUUCCUAGGGGGACGAUAAGACCCUAUAAAACUAUUAUCACGGAUGAAUGAAAAUUUAGUAUUCUUUAGAAAGAUGUGAUUGAGCUGGGGCGGCAUCUAAUACACAUUAGGAAGAAAAACAUUCAUUAAUGAAAAGAUAUAUCUUUUAUAGAUUUAGAUAAGUUACUUUAGGGAUAACAGCGCGAUUUUUUAUAGUGAAUAGUUAUAAAAAGACUUGCGACCUCGAUGUUGAAUUGAGGGGCCGGCUUCGUUUGAAACACGGAGGUCUGUUCGACCUUUAAACCCUCACACGAUUUG
rnacentral:rRNA from 1 species